rnacentral:rRNA from 1 species
GAGUUUGAUCGUGGCUCAGAUUGAACGCUGGCGGCAGGCCUAACACAUGCAAGUCGAGCGGAUGACGGGAGCUUGCUCCUUGAUUCAGCGGCGGACGGGUGAGUAAUGCCUAGGAAUCUGCCUGGUAGUGGGGGACAACGUUUCCGAAAGGAACGCUAAUACCGCAUACGUCCUACGGGAGAAAGCAGGGGACCUUCGGGCCUUGCGCUAUCAGAUGAGCCUAGGUCGGAUUAGCUAGUUGGUGGGGUAAUGGCUCACCAAGGCGACGAUCCGUAACUGGUCUGAGAGGAUGAUCAGUCACACUGGAACUGAGACACGGUCCAGACUCCUACGGGAGGCAGCAGUGGGGAAUAUUGGACAAUGGGCGAAAGCCUGAUCCAGCCAUGCCGCGUGUGAAGAAGGUCUUCGGAUUGUAAAG